CACCCCUGAAGCCACCGCACCCCCCCCAGACCACCGCACCCCCGCGGCCAUCGCACCCCCGAGGCCACCGCACUCCCCGGGCACAGCAGUGACCGUGGCCGCAUCCCCGGGGAACGCUGCGGAACGAGCGGCGCUGGAUCGCCACGGGAGGAAGAAGCCGCUCUCCCCCCGCCGCUCUCGACUGGGACCGGGGCCCUGCUCGGGUCGCUCAUCCGACACCUGCCGGAGAAGAAUGGACUCUCUGUCCUCAGAGGGAAACACAACCUAAUGGGACACAGCUCUGGCACCACAUUUCCUCUUGUUCCUGCUGUCCUGGAAAGGCACAGGUAACUCCAGCCCCUCAGACCCUGCAUCCCUGAGCACCAGGAGAGCUGGAUUUUUACCCGGAUUCCUGCACGGUGGCACUACUGCGAGCACAGGCUGACUGCUCCUCCCAGCACCAUCCAUCAUUUUCACUGUUCCCACAUCCUCCCAAACCUCACCUGCAUCUGUGCAGGGCCAGGGUGUGCCCUGAGGGUGUCACCCAGCGCUGCCCCAGCUGCCACCCCUAGGAGAGCUGGCAAUAACCACAGACAGCGACCUCGCUCCACAGAUUAGUGAGUCCUUCCAAAGACGGCAGCAUUAGCUGUGGUAGGGACAGAAAAUGGCUUGGAAAGGCAUCUCUUCGGCUGCCUGACCCCCAACCCCGACUCCAGCCCGGACCCCACGUUUUCAGCACGCUUUCCUGCAGUGCUGUGGGUCAGAGAGAAGGGGAACAACUUUUGAUUAUCUUGAAAUUUUUCCAGCCCAAAGUGGGAUGUCGCCUUGCCCCUCCCUAAAGCGCUGCAGACACAUGGGAGUAGCUCAGAGCUGGCCCAGUUCUCUGAGAAAUAAUAAUGCCUGAGGGGUCAAAGUGUUAAGGACAGCUUGUCUCAGUGGCAAAUAUUCGGUCCUACAGUCCCAGACUGGUGAGGGAAGAAAAGAACUUCUGUUAUUAGUGGAAAAGCUUCUGUUAUUCCUUCUGCAGUCUUUUAAUUCAGUGGUCUGAUUUACUGUCCAGUAUCUUUCUGACAAGACUUGUCAGAGAUUUAGACUUGGGGAUGGAAUUUGGGUCUGUUUAUUACAAAAUCUUGCCAAGCCUGAAGGCCUGGCCUGACCACUGCUCUCAGCAAAGGUUCCUUGUUAUUCCUCUGUCAGAUUUCCCUCAGCACUGGGCAGGAAAGGUUUGAAUUCUGCAAGUGGCACCUGUGUGACUGUGGGCUUCUUGUGUGCGUGUCAGGGAGCCAGGGCUGGGACCAGGACUUGUGCUGGAGCCAUUGCCCUAUGGAGCCAUUUUAAAGGUCUGAUCCUAGAAUGUUUUGGAGCCUGUUUCCAGAGCUCCAUUUCUAAUGGAUCUCACUCCAAGUGCAGCAGUCCAGGGGAGGGCUCUGACCUCUCCAUACUUGUGCUCAGCCAGGCUGCGGCUGACGCUGGCCCAGACUGGGGCUGGGGCGUGUUUUCAGGGAACUGGAGACCAGUAAGGACUGGUGCUCUGGAAAGCAGGGAUCUCCAGGGACUGGCUUUUGCAAAGCUGAAAUGCAGUUUGUAAAAGCUGCCCAAAAUCCAAAUUCCUGUGUUUUCUGUGGAGGACUUGAAAUCAGAACUGUCCCUACAUGUGGCAUGAUCUGUGUGGUUAAAACAAAGUCCCAGCCCCAGAGGAUGAUGGUUUCUGCUCAUUCCUGUCCCCAGUUGUCCCCAGUGUGUUGCUGAUCCAGAGGGAUCUGCUCUGUUUUCAGGCUGUCCAAACCCUGGUUGCUGCAGUCCCCAACGCCUGAGACAGAGAGAGCCCUGGUCAGAGUGGCCAGUGUCACUUCAAAAGAAAGGAAAUGCACCAAACUUACUGUGGGGCAGGAACUACUCUGUGCUUUCUUCAGUUUUAAAAUUGUUAGUAAAUUCCUGAUGUGUAAUUACUUAAUGCUGCCUAUAAAGAGAGAUUUUCCUCACCGCUAUUUAUGGAUUGUUAUAUACAAAUGCACAUAACUUUAUGAAGGAAAUCAGGAAGUAAAAACCAACACCCUCUGCUACAUUA